UGCAUGAACCUUUCAUCUCUCCAAAUACAUGAACCUUUUAUCUCCCCAAAUACAUGAACCAUUAAAUACGUGAAGCCCAUAAAUGAUAUAAAUAUUAAACUUUAAUAUUAAAAUGCACCAACAGUAUCUAACCUUCACCCUAGAAUAGUACAUCCAUCCUUAGAAGUGCACUGAAUCUCGAUCAUUGUAUAUAAUGAAUCCCCUAGUAAACCAAUUUGGAUCAUGGUACCCAAAAUGGGGGGACUAAAAUUAAAUGGGGAUGUUAAGGAAAUCUAGUAUAUAUUCGAAGAAUCUAAGGGAAAUCGAUCCCUAACCUUGGUUUGACUACAAGGAUACGCAUUAGCCAUCCAGGCCAAUAAAAGAACAGUUGGCUGGAAUUGCUGAUGUACAGCUGUUGCAAGCAAGAUAUCUUUCACCGUUCCCCAAUUUCUAAAUCUACAAAUAGCUCACAAGGGAUGCUAUAUGUUCUGAAAAACAGGGGAUUUUCAAAAUGAAGUCGUCAUCUCUAGAGGUCUUCAUCGUUUUCUCUCUCCUCUUCUCAAUUCUAGUCACCUCUUCGGCCUGGUCUGUGCCAACCUCCCAUUUCCGAGUAAAAGGUAAGAAUGUAGUAGCUGAGAGGGCUUCCCAAGGUGCUGAAGGCAUUGCAAGGUUGUCACCUUUUACACCGCCAGCACCGAAGGCUAACGGGCAUCCUGACCCUCCUCCCGUUAUGAAUCCAUGAGAGCAAAGGAUGCCAAAGUGAUUGCUAAGUCACUUGUCUCCCUUGUUUACUUCCAUCUUGUAGAACUUGAUCACUUCUCCAAAUAAAUAUGAUCAAGAAGAAGGGAUGCAUUCAUGCGUUGGCCCUUUAAGAGGCUCUGUUCUAAAUGUUUUAUGAGCAUCGCUUGCUGAUCAGUU